rnacentral:rRNA from 1 species
GGCCUGGCUGGGCGGUCCGCCCUUCGGGUGAGUACUGCCUGUGGUCGGGUCCUACCUUCUGGCGAAGCGUCAUGGCCUUAACCGGCCGUGGCGGGGAACCAGGACUUUUACUGUGAAAAAAUUAGAGUGUUCAAAGCAGGCGUAACCCUUGCCAUUGAAUAGUAGAGCAUGGGAUAAUAG